rnacentral:rRNA from 1 species
UACGAAGGGGGCGAGCGUUGUUCGGAUUUACUGGGCGUAAAGGGCGCGCAGGCGGCUAUCCAAGUCAGGCGUGAAAGCCCCGGGCUUAACCUGGGAACUGCGUCUGGGACUGGGUGGCUAGAGUUCGGGAGAGGAGAGUGGAAUUCCCAGUGUAGAGGUGAAAUUCGUAGAUAUUCGCAAGAACACCAGUGGCGAAGGCGGCUCACUGGCCCGGUACUGACGCUGAGGUGCGAAAGCGUGGGGAGCAAACAGG